rnacentral:rRNA from 1 species
UACGUAGGGUGCGAGCGUUAAUCGGAAUUACUGGGUUUAAAGGGUGCGUAGGCGGCCAUGUAAGUCAGGAGUGAAAGUUUGCGGCUCAACCGUAAAAUUGCUUUUGAUACUGCAUGGCUGGAAUCAGGAUGAGGUCAGCGGAAUGUGGCAUAUAGCGGUGAAAUGCAUAGAUAUGCCAUAGAACACCAAUUGCGAAGGCAGCUGGCUAGACCUGUAUUGACGCUGAGGCACGAAAGCGUGGGGAGCGAACAGG